UGGGCCGAGCUGGAUUUGAACCAGCGUAGACAUCUCGCCAACGAAUUUACAGUCCGUCCCCAUUAACCGCUCGGGCAUCGACCCAGGAAGAAUGAAUUCUAGGUUUAUUGAUAAUCCAUGACCAACUUCCUUUCGUAGUCCACUACCC
rnacentral:tRNA from 1 species